UCGGGGACGGGACCGUGAGACUCUUGUCAAGACCGUUCUGAGCUUGGGAGAACUGUGAGGCCAGCCAUAACUGGAGGGGCCUCAUACUGAGCCGGGCAUGGCAGACUACGCCUAGAUCGGCGCAUGUUGACAGGAGCAGCUUCACAUGGGACUCCACCUCGAAAUGAGACUCCCCUUUGAGGAGCCAGUUGUCCAGGUUGAGACGCUGGAAGCGAUUUGGCCUUGUCCUUAGCUGGAGGGUCGUAGAGGCCCAAGGUCUGCAAGGUGGUGCGGGAAUCUUUCAUCCCAUGCAGCCCGACGUCCGUCUGGUCCGCAAAGAGCACCUUGCCAUCGAACGGAAGGUCCUGCAUCAGAGAUUGGGCCUCUGUCGACAGCCCGGACAACAGGAGCCACGAAACCCUGCGCAUGGUGAUCGCGGAAGCCAUCAAGCGGGCUGCCGUGUCAGCAGCAUCGGACGCAGCUUGCAGGGCCGCUUUAGCUGCCGCCGACCCCUCUUUUAUCAGAGCCUUGAAGUCAUUCCUGUCCCGGUCUGGGAGGAGGGGCUCAAAUUUAGGCAGGGACUCCCAGAGUCUGAAGUCGUACCUGCUCAGUACGGCCUGGUGAUUGGCUAAGCAAAGCUGGAAACUAGCCGACUAAUAAAAUUUUCUGCCAGACUA